AGAACGAACGCUGGCGGCAGGCCUCAAACAUGCAAGUCUAGGGGGCGUAGCAAUACGUCACCGGCGGACGGGUGCGUAACACGUGGGAAUGUACUUAUUGGUUCGGAACAACUCAGGGAAACUUGAGCUAAUACCGAAUGUGCCCGUAAGGGGAAAGAUUUAUCGCCAAUAAAUCAGCCCGCGUCCGAUUAGCUAGUUGGUGGGGUAAAGGCCCACCAAGGCGACGAUCGGUAGCUGUUCUGAGAGGAAGAUCAGCCACACUGGGACUGAGACACGGCCCAGACUCCUACGGGAGGCAGCAGUGGGGAAUAUUGGACAAUGGGCGCAAGCCUGAUCCAGCCAUGCCGCGUGGAUGAUGAAGGCCUUAGGGUUGUAAAGUCCUUUCGACGGGGAAGAUAAUGACGGUACCCGUAGAAGAAGCCCGGCUAACUUCGUGCCAGCAGCCGC
rnacentral:rRNA from 1 species